AUAAAGUUGCCUCAGGUUAACUGCUCUCUACUCAGAAUAGGUUAAUCCCACUUUCUGAAUCAAGGCUCCAGGUGAACAUGAUGAGGGUCAUCAGAGCAGCUGAGGCUCUGAUAUAAAGUCAGCUGCAGCAGCAGAGCAGUUACAGCACAAAGCUUUUCUCUCUCUGAGGUCAACAUGGUGUUUCUGGGUGUUUUCAUGAGCUCCUGGAUUGGCUUCCUGCUCCUCCAUAUUGCAGCAUGUGUUCCUGUUCAACAAGGUCAAAUGGAUGCAGGUUAUUUCUAUGGAAGCCG